AUUGAACGCUGGCGGCAGACCUAACACAUGCAAGUCGAGCGAGCGGCGGACGGGUGAGUAAUGUCUAGGAAACUGCCUGAUGGAGGGGGAUAACUACUGGAAACGGUAGCUAAUACUGCAUACCAUCAGAUGUGCCCAGAGGGGAUUAGUUGGUAGGUGGGGUAACGGCCGACCAAGGCGACGAUCCCUAGCUGGUCUGAGAGGAUGACCAGCCACACUGGAACUGAGACACGGUCCAGACUCCUACGGGAGGCAGCAGUGGGGAAUAUUGCACAAUGGGCGCAAGCCUGAUGCAGUCAUGCCGCGUGUAUGAAGAAGGCCUUUGGGUUGUAAAGUACUUUCAGCGGGGAGGCGUUACCAGCAGAAGAAGCACCGGCUAACUCCGUGCCAGCCGCCGCGGUAAUUC
rnacentral:rRNA from 1 species